AUACGGAGGGUGCAAGCGUUACUCGGAAUCACUGGGCGUAAAGCGCGCGCAGGCGGCUAUUUAAGUUGGAUGUGAAAGCCUACGGCUCAACCGUAGAACUGCAUCCAAAACUAUUUAGCUAGAGCGUGGGAGAGGAAGAUGGAAUUAGUUGUGUAGGGGUAAAAUCCGUAGAGAUAACUAGGAAUACCAAAAGCGAAGGCAAUCCUCUGGAACACUACUGACGCUGAGGCGCGAAAGCGUGGGGAGCAAACAGGAUUAGAUACCCUAGUAGUCC
rnacentral:rRNA from 1 species